rnacentral:rRNA from 1 species
UACGAAGGGGGGCUAGCGUUGUUCGGAAUUACUGGGCGUAAAGGGCGCGUAGGCGGUCUUGUCAGUCCCUUGUGAAAUCCCACGGCUUAACCGUGGAACUGCUUGGUAUACUGGUUGUCUUGGGCCAUCUAGGGGCUACUGGAACAAACGGUGGAGCGGUGAAAUGCGUAGAUAUCGUUUGGAACGCCAAUGGUGAAAACAAGUAGCUGGGGGAUGUGCCGACGCUGAGACACGAAAGCCAGGGGAGCGAACGGGG